rnacentral:lncRNA from 1 species
GACUGUGUUGUGUUAUUGUUUGAUGGUGGUUUGUUUCUCCUUUGUUUUUUCCCCCUCUCUUUUUCUUUUUUGUUUUUUUUUCUGUAAUUCUAAAAUUCUUAAUAAAUAUCAUUUUAAAAAAAAAUCGUCGCCAGUUUAACAGGGGUUAAAUACCAUCUAUACAUCAUUUUCAUAAUAUUUUCCUUUAACAUUGUACAUGCAGUAAACUUAACCCCUUUCCUCCAAAGUUUCUCCCAGUGCUCCGUCAUUAUGUUAUGUCUCCCUUGAGUGAUUCAUAUUUCAUCCUUUGUUGGCCCAGCCCCACCGCAGACAAAGACAAGCAAUUGGAGUGAUAUUAGCCAGGCAGGGCAGCUCUUUGUCUCCUGAUACUGUGCUGCUAAACUGUCAGCCAGUGGUGCAAAGCCUUGAGUGUAUUAGCUCUUUCCCUGCCCAGGGCACUCUCUUUCUCCAGAUGCCUCCACUUCUUUGGCCUGAAAUCAGCUUGUGGUGCCAGCAAGCCUAUGCUACAAAUAUGGAAACUUGGAAACCUAAUUAACAUUCAUUCCUUGAAACGGAGAGUUUUUUCAUGCAGAGAGAGAGAGCGCGUGCAGGUCUGGUGUCCAGGGUCAGCCUGUUCAAAAAGCCCACAGCCCAGAAGGGAGGGGACCAUUUACAAGGCCAGACCAGGGCGUGCACCAUUCAUGCUUGAACUGCAGGUCACCCUAUGCACUGGAAUGGGGCAGUAUUGGUAUGCAACAAUGGUACUGAAUACCAGUGUUGGUAGUGUUUUUAUAUAUGUUGGAAGCAGCCCAGAGUGGCUGGGGCAACCGUCAGAUGGGCGGGAUACAAAUAAUAAAUUAUUAUGAAUGAAUAAUAAUAAUAAUAGUGACCCCCACUUGAGAAAACAGGGUCUUAUAAGUAACACCUCCCAUUGCCAUGUGUUAUGCAAUGAGACACCAAGGAGUUUUGUGUCUGUUUUUCAAGGGGUCCUCAACAGACCAGUCAAUUGGGGGGGGGCCUCUGUGGUGGAACUGAUGCUGAUGCUCUGCAUGCAGAAGGCACCAUGUGGGCCCUGUUUCCAGGCAAGGGGCUCUUGAAUAGAUACUGAUAUUAUACAAAAAAAUGGGGUUGGCUUUUACAGCCCAACUCCCCAUCAUGGGAUUCCGUGUCCCCUAAGCCCAUCAUUUAAUCAGAUAAGAAGGGAUGGAGGCAGGAACCAAUCAAAGCAAGGCAGAUCUUUAUUUUUCUGUUGCAACAGAGUCCCCCCUGGCUCCCUGCAACUUGCAAGGAGGUGAGGUCGCAGUUGACAAAGACUUUUGAAAUUGCCCAAGCCACUGACCACUGGUCCUGUUAGCUAGGGAUGAUGGGAGUUGUAGUCACAAAACAUCUGGAGGGCCGAGUUUGCCUAUGCCUACCUUAGUCAAAGACCACGUGAAAACAUCAUACCUCACAGAAAGAGGUAUCUACAAUAGAUAAUAUGCCCGUAAGAUAGGAUUUUUAUAUGCCUUUUGUCUUUGUCCAUGGAGUUUUCUUGGCAGGGAUAUUGGAGUGGCUUGCCAGUUCCUGCUCCAGGUGGAUCACGUUUGGUCAAAACUCUCCACUAUGACCUGUCCAUCUUGGGUGGCCCUGCACGGCAUAGCUCAUAGCUUCUCUGAGUUAUUCAAGCCCCUUUGCCACGGCAAGGCAGUGAUUCAUGAAGGGGCAUUUCCAGACUAAACAUACCCAACUCCAUCAACCAUUUCUCCUAAGACUUGGUUUCCAGUAACUUGACCAGCUACAAAGCCAUCUAACAGUUACCUCAUCCAGUCCACAUUUUACCAGCUUCUCUACAAUAAUAUUGGGGGGAGGGGGCUUUAUCAAAAGCCUUAAUGAAACUCACAGCAUUCCUCUGAUCCAACAAGCUUGUAACUAUCAAAAAAAGAAAUGGAGGCAGUGAUAGAUUUUACUUUCUUGGGCUCCAUGAUCACUGUAGAUGGUGACGGCAGCCACAAAAUUAAAAGACGCCUGCUUCUUGGGAGAAAAGCAAUGACAAACCUAGACAGCAUCUUAAAAAGCAGAGACAUCACCUUGCCAACAAAGGUCCGUAUAGUAAAAGCUAUGGUUUUCCCAGUAGUGAUGUAUGGAAGUGAGAGCUGGACCAUAAAGAAGGCUGAUCGCCGAAGAAUUGAUGCUUUUGAAUUAUGGUGCUGGAGGAGACUCUUGAGAGUCCUAUGGACUGCAAGAAGAUCAAACCUAUCCAUUCUGAAGGAAAUCAGCCCUGAGUGCUCACUGGAAGGACAGAUUGUGAAGCUGAGGCUCCAAUACUUUGGCCACCUGAUGAGAAGAGAAGACUCCCUGGAAAAGACCUUGAUGUUGGGAAAGAUGGAGGGCACAAGGAGAAGGGGACGACAGAGGACGAGAUGGUUGGAUAGUGUUCUCGAAGCUUCCAGCAUGAGUUUGACCAAACUGCGGGAGGAAGUGGAAGACAGGAGUGCCUGACAUGCUCUAGUCCAUGGGGUCAGGAAGAGUCGGACACGACUAAAGGACUAAACAACAACAACAGUCUGGAAAUGAGGAGACUGAGAGGAUAGCUAUCUUCAACUGUCUAAAGAGCUGUCACAUGGAAGAGGAUGCAAGCUUGUUUUCGCCUGCUCUUUAGAGUAGGACUCAAACCAAUGGCUUCCAGUUAGAAGAAAGGCGAUUCUGACUAAACAUCAGGAAGAACUUUCUGACCGUAAGAGCUGCUUGUCAGUGGAAUGGUGGCACUGUUUGACAGUGGAACGGUCUCUUGUGGAAGGUGGUUCCUUCCAACUCUACAAUUCUAUAAUUCUUUGAUGCAUGUCACCUCUUGCUUGCCUUUCAUCAGAACAUAAAAGCCUCUAAUACUGUAACCUUUCCUUCUAUGGGUGACACUCCGUCCCCUUGAUCACAUGGGUUGCCCUUUUCUGAACCUUUACUAAAUCAUUCUUGACAUGAGGCCAGCAGGAUUAUACACAGGACUCCAAGUCUGGUUGCAACCCAGAUUUGUAGAGACAUCACAAUAUAGGCAGUUUUAUUUUCAAUCCCUUUCCUAAUAAUUCCUAGCGUGGGAUUCACCUUUCUCAUAACUGCAGGAGGCAGUGGAAGACAGAAGUGCCUGGCGUGCUCUAGUCCAUGGGGUCACGAAGAGUCGGACACGACUAAACGACUAAACAACAACAAAACACCUGUAAAAUUAGCAAAAAUGUAUAGAACUGCUUCAAAUGUUUGCUGGAAAUGUAAGGAGAAAGAACACACGUUCUACCAUAUGUGGUAUUCUGGGAAAUGAUUUACAAAGAGUUGAAAAAAAUGUUUAAAAUAACAUUUGUGGGGAAAAACAGAUGCUUUUUUUGCUAGCUAUUCUAGGUACAGAGAUUCUGAAGGAGCAGAAACAACUAUUCGUGUAUGCAAUGACAGCAGCGCGGAUACUACUGGCCCAGAGAUGGGAAGAAGUUGAAGUUCCAGCCAGAGAUGAAUGGCUGAUGAAGAUGAUGGACUACACCAAAAUGGCAAAACUGACUGGGAAAAUCAGAAAUGAGGAAGAGAAGAAUUUUAGGAAGGAAUGGGAAAAAAUUAUAAUGUAUUUAAGAGAAUACUGUAAACAACUAAAAACCCUUUGGCAGGAUUGAAGUAAUGCUUGUAAUGUACAAAAAACUAUGGAAAAACGGAUUACUAUUCUUUUUAAAAAAUAGAGAAAAUAAUGGUAACCGUGGAAGGACAGAGGGAAGUCAAAGGAUUCAGGGAAUCCUAAAUGAUGGUGUCAGGGGUUCAGGAGCAGAGGCAAGGGCAAGGGAGGAAACAGAGAGCGAGGGGGAGGAGGCAGAAGAAAAGAUGAGUGAUGACGACGACCCGAGAUCUCCGAGUCUUUCCAGUGAAUCAGAAGAUUCACAGAAAGGAGCACCAGUGGCCAGGGCAAGGGGGAGCCUAGGGGACGCCCCAGGAAGAUAGAGCCAGAGGGGACUCAGAGGGGAGCAGUUGGAAAUCGGGACCAGCGUCACCGCCAGAGAGCAGGGAAGAGGAAGGGAGCCAGGGAUCAAGCGCUGGCAGCUCACAACAGGGGGGAGGGCACGAGUCAGGAGUGGCCACACCUCCAUCGGGGAGCGAAGAAACGGUCAGACGGAAGGUGGAAGGUUGGGCGCGCGCGCCAAGUUCAAAUGCACAGGAAGGUGGCACAGUAGGCAGCCCGGAAAGGGAGCCAGGUCCUAAAGCCCGCCGAAAGGAGGGAGAAGAGUCAGGAGCGUCAGCGUCAGAGGAAUCCCGGAAAGAAGAGACCCCAGGGGGCAGAGGGACCCAGAGAAGAACAGUCAGGCGGAAAAGGUGGAGCAGGGCUAGGAUAUUAAGUUGGUGUACAAGGGGCGGAGACUCAGACGGAGCUUCGCCGGUCUAACCAUGAGACGUAGAGUUGCACGCAGCAGUUUGAGAAUGGAAACUGUAACUCAAUAAAGACUUUUGUUUAAUGAUCGCUGGCUAGCGUGAUCCUCUGUGAGCUAGGAUCUGGAAGCAGCUCUGACAGUAAGCUCCGUCUCACUAAAUUGUGGGCAUCUACAGCCUCGCGGAGAGGAGAGAAAGCGGGUGCCUACUAGCGAGCUCACGAAAGGCAGACAAUAUGACGGCCGAACAGCAGAUAGCGGAACUCAGAGAAGCAGUGUCACGACUGAAUGCCGAGGCUCUUGCAUCCAGGAAGAGAGAGGAGGACGCAGCUGCCGCCUACAGGGAUCUCCAGGUCAGGUUGGAAGUGCUUACGAAGCAAGGGCAACUGACACCCAAACCGGAGGGGAUUGGGUUGGGGAGACGAACAGGCGGUCUGGUCUCUCACUUCGAUGGGAAUUUGCAACAGUACCCCAACUUUAGAGCAGAUGUAAUGU